UGAAGGACCAGCUGCCUCAGGGAAUGGCCUGUGCCAUCAUCCCUUCCGUCACAGCUCCAUGAGGGAGUAUCUGACUGAGGGAAGGGCCUGUGCCAUUGUCCCUCCCCUCACGGCUCCAUGAGGGGCUGCCUGCCUGAGGGAACCAUCUCCCCUUCCCUCCCGUUCCAGUGAAGGACUCCCUGCCCGAGGGAAUGUUGCACUCUUAAGCAAGAUGAAAAACGCUGUUGCCCUCGGCACACUGGCUGCAGGACACUGGGCUGCCACUCUCCUCCACUGCUGAUUCCCAGCAUUGCCUGCUUUAUUCCCAACGUUUUCUCCAGCAUCCUGGGUUUUCCUGGCAAGUGCCUCAUCCAAGUCAUGACCAAUCCUUGGACCCUGCUUCAUUCCCUCGUUUCACAAAGUGCUGCCCACGGUGACAGAACAGCAGGAAGCAGAAAAUGAAAUGGGGUACCUGCGAAAAUGAAGAUGGAACUUCACCUCUCCUCCGCAUGUAAAAUUUUUGGGGUCAGUUCUGUCCUCCUGGGUGGCAGGUACAAGAGCAAUGUGGUCCCUCACUCUGCCCCUGUGCUGGGUCAGUCCUGGGAUGAAGGGCUGGGCAAUCCCAGGGGCUGAGCCCUGACAUUUGGGGUGGGGAUGGGCUGAUGUGAGCGAGUGAGAGCACUGAGUUCUCAGGUGCCUUUGCUCUGGGUGAGACUCCCCUGAACCACACAGGGGGUU